UCAAACUUGGUCAUUUAGAGGAAGUAAAAGUCGUAACAAGGUCUCCGUAGGUGAACCUGCGGAGGGAUCAUUACCGAGCUCGCGCCCCCCGGGGGCGGAACUCCACACCCACUGUCAUCGCUACGAUUGUUGCCUUGGCGGGACCGCCGCGCCCCGCGCGCCCGCCAGAGGCCCCCACAGACCCCGCGCGUGUGAUGUCGUCUGAGACCUAAUUCAAUGAAUCAAAACUUUCAACAACGGAUCUCUUGGUUCUGGCAUCGAUGAAGAACGCAGC
rnacentral:misc_RNA from 1 species